CAGCCGCCGCGGUAAUACGGAGGGUGCAAGCGUUAAUCGGAAUUACUGGGCGUAAAGCGCACGCAGGCGGUUUGUUAAGUCAGAUGUGAAAUCCCCGAGCUUAACUUGGGAACUGCAUUUGAAACUGGCAAGCUAGAGCCUUGUAGAGGGGGGUAGAAUUCCAGGUGUAGCGGUGAAAUGCGUAGAGAUCGGGAGGAACAUCAGUGGCGAAGGCGGCCAUCUGGGACAACACUGACGCUGAGGCACGAAAGCGUGGGGAGCAAACAGGAUUAGAUACCCGCGUAGUCCCUGUCUCUUAUAC
rnacentral:rRNA from 1 species